GUGAACGCUGGCGGUAGGCCUAACACAUGCAAGUCGAACGGCAGCACCGUAAGAGCUUGCUCUUACGGGUGGCGAGUGGCGGACGGGUGAGGAAUACAUCGGAAUCUACUUUUUCGUGGGGGAUAACGUAGGGAAACUUACGCUAAUACCGCAUACGACCUACGGGUGAAAGCAGGGGAUCUUCGGACCUUGCGCGAUUGAAUGAGCCGAUGUCGGAUUAGCUAGUUGGCGGGGUAAAGGCCCACCACGGCGACGAUCCGUAGCUGGUCUGAGAGGAUGAUCAGCCACACUGGAACUGAGACACGGUCCAGACUCCUACGGGAGGCAGCAGUGGGGAAUAUUGGACAAUGGGCGCAAGCCUGAUCCAGCCAUACCGCGUGGGUGAAGAAGGCCUUCGGGUUGUAAAGACCUUUUGUUGGGAAAGAAAAGCAGCAGGUUAAUACCCCGCUGUUCUGACGGUACCCAAAGAAUAAGCACCGGCUAACUUCGUG
rnacentral:rRNA from 1 species